AGGAGGUGCAGUUUCAUCUGGAGUUUUCCUUUGUAGUGCACUGACAAAAAAAAAAAAAAAAAGCCUAAGGAGCUCCUAGGAUGACUUUCAAGUCACGGUUAAAAAUAAGCUAAAAUAAGUGUUACAUAAGGUAAAGGAGCUUCAGUUCUACGAUUCUGUUAUGAAGUAAAUCUAGUUAUAUAAUGUCUGCUGCCAGAAUUUCAACUUUCACUUCAAACAGGGUCACACCAGGAAUGAAGGUUUAAUAUUGAGAAAUGGUUUUUAGCUGACUUAUCUUUAUCAAUAUUUUUCUUGUUUCUUCUGCGACUGCAUUUUUUCGUGUGUGUAAAAGCAGGGGGGAAAUAAACUGUCACUGUAUGUGAUGUUAUGGAUUUCCUGCUGUUACAGGCUAUGAUACAUAACCCAUAGUGACAGGGAAAACUGGGAUACUUAUGGGAAGGAUUUAUUUGGGAAUUUAGAGGGAGCUUCCCGCUUGGUGUCCGUUUCUCAAACCCAUGAUAAUUGAACUGAAAUUAUUUCUAACCCUCUGUGCUGUCAAGCUUCUUUUACUGCCUCUUGAACAGCUGGAUUUCUCUUUGUUAUCGCUGUUAAUAAGCACUGGGAGAAUGAUUAGCUCUUCAAAGAGCAGACAUAUAAAUAUGAGAUUAUCAGAACAAUGCCAUCAUAAAACAGCUCCAGAAAAAUGGCGUUAAACCCCUCUUUUUGCCUUUUUUUUUUUUUUUCUGUCUUGCUGCAAGAGCAUUUAGUGGGCAAAACCGAACGGUGCCACGGGCCCUUGAGUGAGAAAUUCCUUCGAAGAAACAAGGCUUGUGUUGUUCCCCAGGAGGAUUAGCGGUUCCUGAGUCAUUUCUUAAGCACGGGCCGUGUAGCUGUGACAAAGGACGCUCCAGAACUCCUGACACUCGUCUCAGUGCAGGCAAAGGCCUAUCAACACAGCAGGAAGCAAAACCACCAGCAGCAGCAGCGUCACCUCCUUUCUUGGGAGGAGAGGAAGAGAAAACCACUGUGUCUUGCAGCAGCUAAGAAGGGCAGGGUGCUGGUAAUUUAUUCCCCAAACAGCCCCUGGCUCACUGAGGGCAGGGCUGACCAGAAAUCUUUUGACCAGCUCAGCCAAGAUUUUAUUUUGCAACAACAGGCACAGGAAAUGAUGCCAGGAGCAAAACGAGUUCCCCGAGAAGAUGAAGUAACCCUGUGAUUUGCAGAUCUGGGGUCUGGGCACAGAUCACUGAACAUUUCCAUGUCUUCUGUGUAGGGUCUUCGUGGAACCAAAGGAGGUGCAAGAGAAAGGAGCUGGGGAUGCUUCACCUGUCCAAGAACAAACACUGCUCUUCAAACAACAAGGGUGAUCUCUAAAUCCCUUUCCUCAGAAGGAGUAGGCUACACACUGUAAUAAACACUGACAGUGCUGUUCUAGAGAAUGAGAUGGGAAACAGAAGUCCUGUUCUCUGUGCAUUUUUUCAAAUUAUAAAAAGGGUCAUUUUUUUAGUUCCAAAAUAUUCCCGAAUAUGCAUUCUUAGAAUAGUUAAACCCAUUAAAAUUUAAUUUAAUAAUAGUGUUUCUUCUCUGUUUCUGGGUCAGUUCUCAACUUCCUCAGCUGGUGCUGAAUUGGAGUAACAAAGUUCUGGGAUUAACCACUGUAAAUGUAGUCAUCAAACUUUCUUUUAGGUGCCUUCCCAGGUAGAAAGUGCUAAACCAAUGCAGCCAAAUAUAUCACAAACUACAGGUUAUAGUGGUGUUGCCCCACCACCUGAAUUAGAGCUGUGACCUCUAAGUAUUUCCUAGAUCAGUGCUCCUGAGGACUCCCAACAGCCAUGCCAAAAAUGGAAACCUUCCCUAUUCAGCUUGGGAUCAGAGGAAUAACUCAAAAGACAAAUAUUUCAAUGCCUUCCAAGGGUUGUCUGUCAAAGAAGGAUUCAGCCAUCAAAGGCUGACACCUUCCUGUCCAGGGGUGAGCUGUCUCACCUCUCU